CGCACGGGUGAGUAACGCGUAUGCAACCUGCCUCUAACAGGGAGAUAGCCCAGAGAAAUUUGGAUUAAUAUCCCAUAAUAUCAAGAAUUCGCAUGUUUUCUUGAUUAAAGCUCCGGCGGUUAGAGAUGGGCAUGCGUGCCAUUAGCUUGUUGGUAAGGUAACGGCUUACCAAGGCUACGAUGGCUAGGGGGUCUUAAAGGAUGGUCCCCCACGCUGGUACUGAGACACGGACCAG
rnacentral:rRNA from 1 species